rnacentral:rRNA from 1 species
CCGGGAUCCGAUUAGAGUUUGAUCCUGGCUCAGAAUCAACGCUGGCGGCGUGCCUAACACAUGCAAGUCGAACGCGAAAGGGGCUUCGGCCCUGAGUAGAGUGGCGAACGGGUGAGUAACACGUGGGUGAUCUACCUCUGAGUGGGGGAUAACGUUCCGAAGGGAGCGCUAAUACCGCAUGACGUUCCGGGUUUGAAGACCUGGAAACCAAAGCCGGGGACCGCAAGGCCUAGCGCUGGGAGAGGAGCCCGCGUCUGAUUAGCUAGUUGGUGGGGUAAUGGCCUACCAAGGCGACGAUCAGUAGCCGGCCUGAGAGGGCGGACGGCCACACUGGGACUGAGACACGGCCCAGACUCCUACGGGAGGCAGCAAUCU